UACGGAGGGUGCAAGCGUUAAUCGGAAAUACUGGGCGUAAAGCGCGCGUAGGCGGCUUGGUCAGUCGGAUGUGAAAGCCCCGGGCUUAACCUGGGAAUUGCAUUCGAUACUGCCUAGCUAGAGUGUGGGAGAGGGUGGUGGAAUUCCCGGUGUAGCGGUGAAAUGCGUAGAUAUCGGGAGGAACAUCAGUGGCGAAGGCGACCGCCUGGCCCAACACUGACGCUCAGGUGCGAAAGCGUGGGGAGCAAACAGG
rnacentral:misc_RNA from 1 species